AUAGUAAGUCCUCAAUAAGUUCUAGCAAUUAUUAAAAAAGGAAAGGCUGUCUGCAAACAGGUACAUCCCAGCCUUCUUGCACAUAGAAACACUACACAGCACUUCAGCUGUAUGUUUGGGGGCCAUUUUAAACAGCAAAAUCAUCAACAGGAAGCAGAAAAUUGUAAAAAUUGUGGCACUAAAUAGACCAUGUAAAGGACACAUGUUUGCAAUAAGAAAGCUGAAACAAGAAGGGGGAGUGUCACCUUAUUUGAUCCAGCUAGAAACUCAGGUGCUGGUAUUCCAGCAACACUCAGGCGGCUGCUCCAGGAGGCUGCAGAGGGGUCCUUUUUAGCCGUCAACAAAACUGGCUAUGGUCACGCCCAUUGGGAAACUCAUUGCUGCCUUCAAGUUAGGUUCUGUCAAUAGAAGAUACUAAAGAAAGAAAGCCAGGAGAAGAAAAGGGACUUCUUUCUUCAAGGUCUAAGCUGUUCUAAUAGCAUUAUUCUGGGAAUGGCAUCUUCCACUCCUCCUAGUACAAAGAACCUGCUUCCUCAUACCCCGUCAAGGAACUGCAGCAUCCAGUCCCAUUGUUUCAGGUCAGAAGUGAACAGACAGUGGGUGAGACAUGAAGCUCUAGCCAGAAAGGGCUAAUGUGAUGGCCACAGUGGCAGAACCUAGGAAGCCAAGAAGAAACCAGAGAAUGGAGACACAUGGCAGCAAUGGCAAGUCAUCAGACCCAGGAUUUCCCAAAGAACACUGGUCCAGGAAGAUGCUCUGUGAAAAAGUGUUCCCUGGUCGGAGAAAUUUGUGAAACACUUUGCAUAAUACUUAAAAGAAUGUAUGGCACAUCAAAGGUAAUAUGCAAUAAAAGAAUUCAUUUUUUUAAAA
rnacentral:lncRNA from 1 species